AAAGUCGUAACAAGGUAACCGUAGGUGAACCUGCGGUUGGAUCAUUACAAAGAUUCAAUACGGUUGAGUUCAUUAAAUUCUGCCAAUUCAUUGGCAGGAGAACUCCCGUAACAAUACCCACAUUCUGUGCAUUGUACAAUGUCCCUGGUGGAGGGGAAGCAAGUGGCGAUCCCAUUUCUUUCCAUGCUAAACACUUGCCUGCUUUGCAGGUUGUGUUUGAUAAGGCACUCCACCAGACUUGUUUUUGUUAAACUUUUGUUAUUACAUUCAAAUUUGUCUGAUAUCAAAGUAUUUGUAGUAUAAAUAUACAAACAACUUUUGGCAACGGAUCUCUUGGUUCUC
rnacentral:misc_RNA from 1 species